GCAAGCCCUGAUCUAGCCAUGCCGCGUGAGUGACGAAGGCCUUAGGGUCGUAAAGCUCUUUCGCCAGAGAUGAUAAUGACAGNAUCUGGUAAAGAAACCCCGGCUAACUCCGUGCCAGCAGCCGCGGUAAUACNGNGGGGGUUAGCGUUGUUCGGAAUUACUGGGCGUAAAGCGCACGUAGGCGGAUUGGAAAGUAUGGGGUGAAAUCCCANGGCUCAACCCUGGAACGGCCUUGUAAACUCCCANUCUANANUUCNAGAGAGGUGANUGGAAUUCCAAGUGUANAGGUGAAAUNCGUANAUAUUUGGAGGAACACCAGUGGCGAANGCGGCUCACUGNCUCGAUACUGACGCUGAGGUGCNAAAGUGUGGNGAGCAAACANGAUUANAUACCCUGGUAGUCCACACCGUAAACNAUGAAUGCCANACGUCAGGGGGCUUGCCCUUUGGUGUCACACCUAACGGAUUAAGCAUUCCGCCUGGGGAGUACGGUCGCAAGAUUA
rnacentral:rRNA from 1 species